rnacentral:rRNA from 1 species
UACAGAGGGGGCAAGCGUUGUUCGGAAUUACUGGGCGUAAAGGGCUCGUAGGUGGCCAACUAAGUCAGACGUGAAAUCCCUCGGCUUAACCGGGGAACUGCGUCUGAUACUGGAUGGCUUGAGUUCGGGAGAGGGAUGCGGAAUUCCAGGUGUAGCGGUGAAAUGCGUAGAUAUCUGGAGGAACACCGGUGGCGAAGGCGGCAUCCUGGACCGACACUGACACUGAGGAGCGAAAGCCAGGGGAGCAAACAGG